rnacentral:tRNA from 1 species
UGGCUCAGUGGUAGAGUGCUUGCCUUGCAUGCAUGAGGCCAUAGGUUCGAUUCCUCA